rnacentral:pre_miRNA from 2 species
CCUAGGAUACGCCUGAUGAGUGUUUUCCCAAUUUGACUGUGGUGGUUGUGGGUAGACCCUACAGCCUCUAUAAUUGGCAGUGUGGGAGCCAACACAGUUGGCACACUUGGG